rnacentral:misc_RNA from 1 species
UUUCCGUAGGUGAACCUGCGGAAGGAUCGUUAUUGAAUGAAACGCUUCUGGGUUUAUACUGUUGUGCUGGCACUCUGCGCAAUGUGCACACGGCGCUGGUCACUUGUUUCUUCUGUUCCACCUUUGCACAGCCUGUAGACACGCUGUGUCUAUGUUAUUUUUUAUCACACAACAAUGUUAUUUGGCAUGUUAUAUAUAUUAAUAAAAUAUACAACUUUCAACAACGGCUCUCUUUACUCUUGCAUCGAUGAAGAACGCCACCGAUCAGGAACGCACACG